CCGCCCUCGCCCAUCCCUCAUCCAGGGCCCCGCCCCCUCGCGGCGCCCGGCGCGCUGCCGUCACCGACCAGGCGCUUGGGAACAAGCACAGCUCUCAACCCUCUCGCUCGGGAUUGGCCCCCGGCGGACAGGGGGCGGGCCGUCGGCGAGAACUAGGACCAAUCAUUGGUUGGUAGGAAUGGAGGAGGUGGGCAAUAGAAUGACUGAAGUUUAGAGAGGGUGAAAAAAAGUUUGGAGAGUGAGGGAGGACGGAGAAGAGGGGAAGAAAGGGGGCUGACCGCCGAGUGGAACGGACUGCAGGUCGCAAUCGGCGAGAGGUCCUCUGUCCCGCGGCCGGAGCCCAGGAAACUCGGAUACCAAGGGACCAAACUCUUCGAGAUCAUGGCAGAUCCAAAAUGGUUUUCCUUCAUAGCUGUGCAUCACUGCAAACAAUUAGAUCUGUCUUUCUAAUGUGCCAGCCAUUAAUCACUAAAGGCUAGAUACUGGGAACUCGUGUCCAACAGGAUACUAAAAUUAGACUCUUCUGUCUCAGUUUUGCUAAGGUUGAAUCUAAACCCCUAAGCCUGGAAUUUGAUGUCCCCUGUUACCUGAGCUCAUCUAUAUUUUUCAACCAAAGCUCCCACAAGUCCUAAUAGAACAUUUCACUUCUAUCAGAGUCUUGUUAUGUACUUCAGACUGGCCUUGAAUUCAUUACAUAUCCCAGGCUGGCCUUAAACUCAAAGCAAUCCUCCUGCUACAGAGGAAAUACGAAAAAAAUCAAAUGUGCUAGAGAAGCCUGACCAAGAUGACCAACUCCUUGGGGUGCAUAGGAUUACCUUUCUACUGGAGCCCAUUUCUUAACAAAGUAUCUGGGGUUCUCCAACUCAUUAAUUAAAGGAUCAUUUGAGCUCUCAAAGACUUGAGUGAGGAAAGCCAGUGUUUGAAAAUUUCAGCACCCAGAGAGCUUCUCAGCCAAUUAAAUCUGUGUCCUUGGAGGAGGUUUUUGCUUUUGUUUGCUUUAAAUCUCCAGUUAAUUCAAAUGUGCUGCAUGGUCAAGAACCAUCACUCUAACGGGAAGUCCAAAGAGCUGGGAAUAAAUUACCACCUUUCCAGAUCCUGCCUUUGCCACCGGAGAGUAUGUGGGUUGUCUCCUGUCUGGUCAGACACCAAGGACAGGAUCUCAAAAUCAAGGAUCCACCAGAAGACAACUUCUCAUUGUGCUGAGCUCCCUGACCCCAACCCCUGUGCACACACUUGAACUUCAUGUUGCCACACUAACGUGUUUACAUUGAGACCCUCUGCCUCAGUCAGAGGGACUGGAAACCUGGAAGAAGUGAUGAAGCUUCUCCUGUUCUGCUGUAGUCAGCUACUUAAAAGGACCACAAUACUACUCAAAGGUUCUGACAGCAACAGAACCCAAGGAGAAGUUCGCAGAUCUGUCUCCCUCCCCACUUCCCUAGGGCAGCCCAAACUCAGACAUGUCACCACCAGGCUGAAGCCAGUCUGUUCUCCUAAUGUCCCAGGCUGUGGACAGGAAGGGAAGGACACAGCUAGGCUCCUUACACAGGAACCCUUUUUCUUUUAUUUUUUUUUGAACCCUUGGCACCUACAUUUAACUGGAACCUUCUAGGGAUAGUUGGUUGAACUGCAGAGGAAUUAGAAAAGGCCUGCUGACUGGUUACGGUGAGGGGAGACUAGGUUCUAGCUUCCUAUAUUGGAAAUGUACAUACAACUUUUCCUAGAAAUAUGUUAUAGGUACUUAAACACUUCACCGAAGGAGUUAAAUAGGCUUUCGCCAAAAGAUCUUUCCAAAUCUAGCAUAUAGGACAUUAUUUUCCUUUGAGAAAUGUGUUACUGAUCUCAAAUAAUUUGCAUUCAGUUUUUAUAAUGGCAAAUAAAGAGAUUCUUAUUAAAAUAUAUAACUAAUAAUUUGCAUUCAGAAACCAUUUAUCUAACGUGAGUGUAGUAGUACAUACCUGUACUACUAAAGAGUCUGAGACAAGGACAUUUCAAAGUUCAAGGCCGGCCUGAACAAUUUAAUGAGCCUCUGUCUCAAAAUAAAGUAAAAUAAAAGGGAAUUGGAGGAUGUAGCUCAGUGGUAGAGAGUUUGCUUUGCAUGUGUGAGGCCUUGAGUUCAAUUCUAUGUACAGAAAAAGAGAAAUUAAAGAAUAUCUACUUACCUAUAAAUGUGAACCAUUGUCCACACCAUCCCUAUUGCCACCCAAUCCUUAAAUUCAAGCAAGUCUGCACACUGCUGAAUAAAUGUAUUCAGUUUUCAUUUUUUUGUACCUUCCUCCACCCAAAGUUCAUGCAGUGAUUUUGCACUCUGUCCUGCACCUUGUAGCUUAGAUGCUGGAGGCCCCAGGGCAGAAACUGUCCCUUGUUUUCACACUCCCCAGUGCAUAUUUUCAGCCUUCUCUAAAUUGUGAAUGCAAGAAAUAAAGUGCCUCCCCACUUCUUAGGAGAGACACAUUUUCCACUCACACCUUCUCUGUGGGAUGGGGAGGGGCUGGCUGUGAAAGGUGGGCAGUGGAGAAGAGGGUGCUCAGCUAUGCCCAGCCCAGAGCCCCAUUCACCCUUAAAUGGUUCUGCCUGAUAAUCUUAGUCUUGUUGGAAGAGGAGGGCUUUUGCCUUUCCAUAUUUUCAACACAGGAAAGAUUGAGUUUACUAGAAAAUAAGUGUUGUUAUGAAUGGAACAGGCUGAGGCUCCUGUAUCACCUGUCUAUGUGGCCUUUUUGUUCAUCUAUGAAAAUCUUUUAAGAGUAGGCUGGGAAAAUAUUUUUCAGCUCCAUACAUUAAAGUUAAAUCAGCAGUUCUCAGCUUGGGAUAGAUUUGUCCCCCAUGGGAAAUUUGGCAACGUUUGGAGACAUUUUGGGUUUUCAUGACUGAGAGGAGGAGUUGAGACCAGAGUUGCUAUUAAAUAUCCUAUAAUACAUAGGGCAGUCCCCACAGCAAAGAAUGCCAGUGUCAAAGCUAAAACCUCUAAGUCAAAUGGUUAUAUCUGGUCUGUCACCAUUAUUAUAUCAUCCAGGGAAACAAACACCCAGAAAUCAUUGAGACCUCACAUUUGCCAUGAUUUAAAUGUAUAGAAGGACAAAUGACUUUUUUCUGAACUAUAUUUCCCUGUUACUGGUUUACUGGUUACUGGUUUAUAGUCACACAAUGAUUUAAGAAAAUUAACAUUUCCUUAAAGUGUCAUCUUCACUGUUAAUCAUCUUUUACAAAUCAAUCAAGCUUUUAUUACUCUAAGCAAGUAAUAAUUGAGGGAGCAGAAGAAACUGCAGAAUGUACUGAGAUGAGGCAGCUGGCUCAUUCACCAACUGCCUGCGGCAGAUUGUACUAUCUGGAAAUGAGUGUGCGGGUAUCUCCUAUCCUACACAUUCUUCUUACAAUUUGACUUUGGCAGUCCUCCCAUUGAGAGGUAGGGACUGUCUUCCCUCCGGUUGAAUCUGGGAAUAUGUUUGAUCAUGGUGCAAGUGAUACCAUGUGAUCCCAAGCAUAAAAGGAACAUAGCUUCCUCUUAGUUCUCUGGGAACCUGGCCACUGGAUGUGAGGAAGCAGGUGUGUAGGUGUUUUGGCUGAGGCAGAGAAGUCCCUGCUGGCAACCAUCAUCAGUUCACAGACACGAGGGCAAGCAAGCCUUCAGUUAGCUUCUGACCUUUUCCACUGAAUCACCCACUGUCUGAGUGCCAACAACUAAGCUGUGGAAAAAGACAAGCUAUCUAUACUACAGUUCCCUAAUUUCUGACCCACACACUCCAUAGCUAUAAGGAAAUUGUUAUUUUAAGUCAAGAGUUUUGGGUAAUUGUUAUGCAACAAAAUAAAUCUGCUGUAGUAAUUUUUCCUCUAAUCUAUAAAAACUUACCUUGCAAUAAAAUUCCAAAAUACUAUGUAAUAAUGGACUUUCCAGAAACCAUUAAUGCUGAAUUUUUCACUGUUAAAGAUACCCAAAAUGGUGGAAACAACAACAAUAAAAAAAUCCAAAUGGCAAACUUACUAUCAUUCACCUGUCCUGUACCUAAGGCAGGCAUCAUUAAUUAAUCGCAGAACUCUUUCCUGAGGAAGAAGGAUCCGGUCCAAAAGUGCUUCUCAACAAAGUGCUCAAAAAGCAAAUCAACAACCAAGUGACUGGGGCUGUCAUACAAUUUGAAAUCGCUUUUCCAUCCCCAGGAUUCUUUGUAAGAAUUGAGCUAGGUUCCACUGGCUGAUGCCCAGAAAGAAGAUUUAACUAUUGUUUAAUCAGGUGCAUAAACAGGAUGCCGUGCCUUGUUUGCAAAAAUUCUGUUAUAUUAACUUAGUAGAUGAAUGUGGUGGCAUUCUUUUAUCAUGAUUUUUGAGAACUUGGAAUGAAACAAUAGUGAUUUAUUGAUGCCAACACCAUUUUUAUUAAAAACAAAUAAACCUAAAUCCCUGGUACAUGAGGAAAAUGUUUAACUCCUUUUUAAAAAAGUGGAACAAUCUCCAAAUAAAACCCCCACAUUAUUAAUGGGUCCAUAUGUCUAGCCAGCGACUGAAGAUUGCCAAGCUUCUGGGAUAGUUCAGAAGUAGAAUUUUUUAUUUUAGUUUGAUGAAGCAUGCAUAGAGCGACAGAAGCCACUGACACAUGUGUGAUUUUGAUGUUUGUUCAAUGCACAUUAUUAUAGCAGGUCUAGCAAAGAGCAUGAAAUACAUAUGCCCUCUUUCUUUCAAUUUUCUGUUUGUGAAUUUGAUGUCUUCACCCUACAACUGACAGCUAAAUUUUUCUCUCAUCUACCAGGGAUUCUGGGAAAGUUGUUUACUUUUAAAAGAAAUGUAAUAAUGGUUAUUUGAAGAAAAUAACUGAAGUAAUUGAAUUCCUAGGAAGGCGGACCACACAACUGAGGUACUUUUUAACUUAAGAUUUCAACAAUUCUGGUAACAGCACGGUCACCCUUACUCUUUCAUGGUGACUUUUGGAACUUUGAAUCUAGCUAUCUACAACAGGACAGCAAAAUGGUACAAAAGAGGAAAAGUCACACAGACUGAAAUUCUCUUAAUUGUCCACGUGAGAACAUUUUACAAAUUAUAACUUAACUAAGGCAAUAACAUGAGGAAUGUUUUUGAGAUCAGCGAACAUUGUUUCCCACGUCUCUGCUGGCAUGUCCUCUGUCCCCUUCUCACUGUUAAAUAACAUUUAUUCUCUCUUUAUUUUUCUACAACAAGCAUAUCAACAAAUCUAUGUCCUCAUGUUCAGAUACCAGAUCAUUUUCCUUCCUAGUUGCCAUUCGCUGUCCUCUCAGGAAAACUAUUGAUUCCUUGGCUAAUCUGAAACUGAUUCAAACUGAGAUAUUAUGAGCUUUGCUCUAGUCAGAAAAAAAAGUUGAGAUGAUAUAAAUUAAAAGUAAGUGGAUGUAUUUUACUUAUUUAGAGGACUAUGUAAACAUAGCAAACAAUGCCAGUGAACAUUACAUUCUCACAACUUUGGGAGAUACCUAUGACUUUGCUCAUUUUCCUGAUGUGGAAAGGGAAGAAAAGGCAAGUCUAGAGAUUGCUCGAGGCUCCAAGAUUCAAAAAGCCAUCAGCUUCACUGCAAAGCACAAGCAUUUGGCUGUCAUGCCUUUCUUUUAGUGUUACCUUUCUUGGCUUUGAGAGAGUUAAGAAGAUGACCCUCUCCUGGCAAUUUUGAGGAGAAAAAGCAUUUAACCACCCUCACUCCUGAUGGCCAAUAUGAAAAUUAGAACACUGAUGUGACUGCAGCUCUUCUGGAACACUUAGCAAAUGGCUUGCUUUGAAAAGUCGAGUGUUUACUCACUCAAGUGCUAAUUUUUAAAUGUGUAUGAAAAUUUUUCGUAAAUGCAUUCUGCAACUCCAUUCUUUCAUGAGGUAGAUAUUCUAAACACAAUUUAACCUUUAGUCUUUCCUUAUAUACUCAAGGUUUGCCAUGUGAACAUUAGCUACCCUUAAAGAGGCUGCAGACAGCAAUGCCCUAGAGGACCGUGGAAGUACAUAGAGCUGUUUUUAACCUACGUCUUAAGUGGUCCCAGACUACUGUGCUAUUUGAGUUCUUGUGUCUGCUUUUCAUAGAUUUUCUGUCUUGUCAACCUCUUGGGUAUUGACUCUCAUUUGCUAUUAGUAUCUGUCUCUAUUAGUUCUUCUUUGUCUAAUCUUGCUACUUAUAGUUUGUGAUGGAUAUGCCAGAUAUUUAGGCAUAUUUUGUCCAAAAAUACCCACUGCAUGACUGAGGGGACUACUGGUAAAUAUGAAACAUGAAUUUUAGUGAAUUGAAUUUAUAACAUCUAUUUUAACUUUUUAAUUCUCUGAGCCAUAACUGAUGAGACUGUUAAUCAAUGUGCUAGAAAUAUCUAUUGGUGCCUGCCUGCUCACAAUCCCUUUUAAGGAAAUUUCCUGGCUGUCAUAGCCUCUGCUUCUUAGCUGGCCAUGUUUUGCCUAUAAAGGAAUCCACCCACAUCAUCUAUACUACAUGUGAUUGGAUGCGUGGAAUGCCAGACUCAAGGCCACCAGAUUACAGACUGGCCAGCAACCAUGAUGAAAAGAUGUGCAUGGCUAGUCCUAGCUCUGGGGAAUUGGAAUUGGAUGGAUGGAGUGGUAUUUGAAACAACAUUUACAGUGGAAUUGUGUCCCUUGAGGCUACCAUGUGCGUUGGACUGCAUGAAGUGAUGAAGCAGUAGAAUUUCUAAGCUAACCAGUGGGAGAAAGAGAAGGAAGCAAAUGCAUGGACUGAGAUGGGAGUGUGGAGAAGGCUGGAAUUUAUUCCGUGUGUAUCUUUACUUUGAGUACUAUUUCUCGUGGGGCAACUUGAAUGAGUCUCUGUAUCUUGCUACAAAAGAAUCCAACUAUAAAAACUAAUUUCUUGA